rnacentral:tRNA from 1 species
GGAAAGAUGGCAGAGCGGUUGAAUGCACCGCACUCGAAAUGCGGCAACCGGGUUUCCCCUGGUUCGGGGGUUCGAAUCCCCCUCUUUCCGCCA